rnacentral:rRNA from 1 species
UCGUCAGCUCGUGUCGUGAGAUGUUGGGUUAAGUCCCGCAACGAGCGCAACCCUUGCCUUUAGUUGCCAUCAUUAAGUUGGGCACUCUAGAGGGACUGCCAGGGAUAACCUGGAGGAAGGUGGGGAUGACGUCAAAUCAUCAUGCCCCUUAUGCUUAGGGCUACACACGUGCUACAAUGGGUGGUACAGAGGGCAGCCAAGUCGUGAGGCGGAGCUAAUCCCUUAAAGCCAUUUUCAGUUCGGAUUGUAGGCUGAAACUCGCCUACAUGAAGCUGGAGUUACUAGUAAUCGCAGAUCAGAAUGCUGCGGUGAAUGCGUUCCCGGGUCUUGUACACACCGCCCGUCACACCAUGGGAGUUGGGGGCGCCCGAAGCCGGUUAGCUAACCUUUUGGAAGCGGCCGUCGAAGGUGAAACCAAUAACUGGGGUGAAGUCGUAACAAGGUAACCGUA